rnacentral:rRNA from 1 species
UUGUGUGGCUCUUGCUUUGGUUGAGCUAAGCAGAGUCAGGCCUGGUUUGUACUUGGAUGGGAAACCAUCUAGAAAUUCCAGGUGCUACGCACU